ACUCGCCUCUUCACCACCGUCUCA
rnacentral:siRNA from 1 species